AUACGUAGGGAGCGAGCGUUGUCCGGAAUUACAGGGUGUAAAGGGAGCGUAGGCGGGAUCGCAAGUCAGAUGUGAAAUACAUGGGCUUAACCCAUGGGCUGCAUUUGAAACUGUGGUUCUUGAGUGAAGUAGAGGUAAGCGGAAUUCCUGGUGUAGCGGUGAAAUGCGUAGAUAUCAGGAGGAACACCGGUGGCGAAGGCGGCUUACUGGGCUUUUACUGACGCUGAGGCUCGAAAGCGUGGGGAGCAAACAGGAUUAGAUACCCUGGUAGUCCACGCUGUAAACGAUGAUUACUAGGUGUGGGGGGACUGACCCCUUCCGUGCCGCAGUUAACACAAUAAGUAAUCCACCUGGGGAGUACGGCCGCAAGGUUGAAACUCAAAUGAAUUGGCGGGG
rnacentral:rRNA from 1 species